rnacentral:lncRNA from 1 species
UUUCCCUCUCCGUUUUCUCUGUCUCUUAUGAACAUCAAUUAAAAGACCUUGCACAAAUUCGUGCAAGGUCAUGAAAUCUCUCACCAAAUCAUCCUCUCUUGCUUCCCUAUACGAGAAUCCUGUUGAUUUUUCCCUUUUGUUCUUCAAAUCUAAAGUACCAGACUCUGACCUUAGCAUCAAGAUAUCGUUUCAUCUUCAUUCUCUCAAGUCCAAACUCAAAGAAUCAUUCGCUUUGUCCCUAGGCUAUGUGGCCUGUGAUUUUCUUUCCAUUUCGUUGAUUAGAUUCAAAACCCCCAAAUCUGAAACCCUAUACUCAAAGGUGAAACUUUAAAUCUCUAGAUUUCUCUUAUGCUUGGUCAAAUAAGAGCAUGCUUGAGAGUAUCUCAAAUCCUCAUUAUGCUUAUUCGAGGUCCAGAGGUCAAAUGUAGUGACCUCUGGACACUGAAGCUUUUACCGAUGGGAUUUGCCUUCAACGGUCAACUUCUCUUCUUUUAGGUAAAAAACUCUCACUCGUUUCCCUCUAUCUCUCAGAUUUGUUUACUCGUAUAUGCUUGCAUCACCUGGUAAUAUUCAUCUUCCACUACCUAUGCUUGAAUCUGAAACCCUAGGCCAUUAAAUGGCACUAUAAAUAGAGCCUUGAUUGCUCUCACCUAACAAUCACCAAGAACAUACCAAAUAAUACCUACCAUACUUACAAUAGUCUAAAAAUCUCAUACGAAUUAAGAGGGUGGGUUUCUUUUCUGAUUGAUCUCUAUUUCCUUUUGUUUUCGAGUUUCUUCACUGAUCAAGAGCUUGAAAUUUUGAUUUUCACACAGCUAAGUUAGAAACCAUGUUUGGUCUGUUGCACUAGAAAAGGUCAGUACACUUCCACCCUUCCUCUUUUUGACUAUCUUUAUUCAAAUAUCAUGAACAUGCUGAUGUCUUUUAUUAGUUGUGUUCAUUUAUAAUGUUUGUCAUUAGUGUAUAGAUGUCACUUCCAGUUCAUAAUGAUGUGUUGUUAACUUAUGGUCACCUGUUAUGCUUUUGAGUAUCUUUAAUCAGUAUUGAUUAAGUUAUUAUGUGACCUCGAUAGCUUCUAUUCUGUAUCAAACAGCCUAUAUGAUUAAGCUACUUAAUAUGCCUUAAUGACUUUUCAUGUUCGCAUGGGCUUCAGGUUUUCUUGAAUGAUUCUGCUAUGAUCUUUAUUCCUACCAUACUGUUUCUGCAUUUUGUUGUUGAGGUUGUUGUUUGAUAAUCAUAACUAGGAUAAACAUGAAAGUUUGCAGUUUAAUCAUUCAUCACUCAAUUGAAGUAUGUGAAGUUUAAGUGCUUAAAUUCUCUCCUUUUUUGUAUAAGUGUUUGUUAACCUGUAAACAUUCUUUGAGUCAUCACUAUGAAAGUCUUAAACCCAUGUCUAACUGUUAGUUACAUCUCUGGGUCUCUUUGCAUGAAACAGUCUCAUUAAGGAGAACCUUUGUGAACAUCAGUAACCAUCUUGCAUGUGUUCUGUUAUGAUUAAGUUAUCUCUCAUAAAAUAGGUUAUAAUCAUGUAUACUAUAGUUGAAUGUUAACUGUUUUACAAGCUGAGUAUAACUACAUCAUGCUUAGAUAUUAAUCUUAGUCUCCACAGUUGAGUUAAACAUGUUUGAUAUAAUGUCUCCUUUGUUUAUGACCCUUAAUAACAUUGUUAACCUGAUUUUACAAUGACUGGAGCUCAUCUUGUUUUUGUAAGACUAUGACAUUAGUUGAAAUAUCUAUUUGUGUAGUUGAAUGAAGGAUAUGUAUGUAUCUCUAUAUAUCUCUCAUGAUUUCAUACGUCUGUGCACUCUCUUGAAAUCGCAUACAGUUUUCUCUUUCCCCUUUAAUCUGAAUUGAACCUAGUUUAUGAAGUUUAAGAGAAACUCUUUAUUGAUAUUGCUUGGACAUAAUAGUUUACUUAUUUCAUAAAGGAUUGGUUCUAUCACCAAUUUCAAGGUUACGUAAGACUGAUAGUCUGUGAUCUUGUUAAGCAUUCUUAGAUGUCCCAUUUGAAUCUGCAAACCUGUGAUCAUGUUACAAUUUCUUACUAUAUUCUGGUAGCUCUAAUAGCCAAUAUAGAAGUUCUAACUAUGAUAUUUUGCCUGAACCUUUGUUGAUACUUUCAAAAGUUCCAAACAGUAUUGUUAACCUAUGUGUGCAGGGCUUGAGUUAAGCUAAUAUGUGAUUAGUCUAUUAGGGCAAAAGCAUAGGUAUCCCUAAGCUGUUGUAGCUCUAAACUAUGUGCUCUUUAUUUUUUCUUGAGAUGUGUGAUCUCAGUUGUUUGGUUCUUUAGAAAUAACAGUAUAAUUGUUCAUGCCUCUAUGUGUAUUUGGAAACUUGACCUUUAGACCUGUUCAAUAUGUGUUCCACUUAGUAUUGGAAAUAUAGUUCUAAGAAAUAAAACUGUUUCAGUGUUCCUUAUAUUAUUAUUUUAAGAAAAAGGUAUGCUUCUGUGGUAGGGUGUGUUAUGGUAGUCAGUUCACAUUGAAAGAGCCUCAUAUACACUUAAACCUAUAGUGAAAAAUUAGUUGUUAGUGGUUAGGGGUAUUUGGGAAUAGAGUUUAACUCUAGGUUGGGCUUCUCUCCCCGGCACAGGCAAUGCCCUGGACCUUGAGACCCUCGGGAACUUUGAAGUGUCGGGGAAUUCAAAGGGGGCAUCGACCUUGAGUGGAAUUCUCUCCUUAGCCCUUAAUUUAUUGACACUUGUUAUUCUCUUUUGGUUUAGUAUCUAAUGACAACGAAAGGUGUUCAAUGUGGAUCAUUUGCUAUACAUAACCACUACAUUAGUAUAACCUUCUUAGUGUUUAAAUAUUCUUAGUUAUCUUUACUUUAUUCUUUGCUUGAAAGUUUCAAGUAUGAGCAUGUAUAUAGUAUUGUCUUUCUAAUGAAUUUCUCUCUUCUUCUUUUUUAACAUGUACAAUGGCUUGGGCAUGCUGAGUUCUUAAAGAACUCAGACCCAAAUCCAGCAUUGCUAUAUCUUGAGAGUCCAGAGUCAGCUUUUGUCUCUGUUAUUGCUGGGCCUGCCUCUUUGAGGCCCAAAAACUAGAGUCAUUCCUUUCCCUUUACUCUUUUACUAUUUACUGCUUUCGCUAUUCUAUAGCUUUACUAUGUCGUUGUCCUUUAUUGUGUUCCCGUUGCUUUAUCUCACAUGUAUACAACAAUUAUAUAUUAGACUGAAU